CCUACGGGGGGCAGCAGUGAGGAAUAUUGGUCAAUGGGCGGGAGCCUGAACCAGCCAAGCCGCGUGAAGGAAGAAGGCGCCAUGCGUCGUAAACUUCUUUUGUCGGGGAACAAAGGGCGCCACGUGUGGCGUUGUGAGUGUACCCGAAGAAAAAGCAUCGGCUAACUCCGUGCCAGCAGCCGCGGUAAUACGGAGGAUGCGAGCGUUAUCCGGAUUUAUUGGGUUUAAAGGGUGCGUAGGCGGUCCGGAAAGUCAGCGGUAAAAGGCCGGGGCUCAACCUCGGCGAGCCGUUGAAACUGUCGGACUAGAGACGGCGAGAAGUACGCGGAAUGCGCGGUGUAGCGGUGAAAUGCAUAGAUAUCGCGCAGAACUCCGAGUGCGAAGGCGACUAUCUGGCACAUAACUGACGCUGAGGAGCGAAAGCGUGGGUAGCAAACAGGAUUAGAUACCCGUGUAGUC
rnacentral:rRNA from 1 species